rnacentral:lncRNA from 1 species
CGGAAACAGCCUGCCUGUCCAUCAACUGAUGAGUGGAUAAUCAAAUUGUGGUUUGUUUAUACAAUGGAAUACUGUUCGUCUGUUAAAAUAGGAAACUAUGAAAGUUACAACUCAAUGAACGGAUGGAUCUUAAACAACUAUUUUGAGAGAGAUUAUAUGAAAUCCUCCUGAAAAGAGAAGACACUUUUAAAGAUACAAUAGAGUGGAUGUUAACUCAGAGCAAAUCUUCCCUCGAG